rnacentral:rRNA from 1 species
AUGGCUUCCUCGGCGUCUCUCCUCCUCCUCCUCGUCGCUGCUUCGCACGUGUGCUGCUGCCACGGGCAAGGCGGCGACAACGGCGCUGUGGCGGCGAUCUACAGCCUGGGCGACUCCAUCACGGACACGGGGAACCUGGCCAAGGAGGCGCCGCCCGGCGCCUUCGAGACCAUCAAGCACCUCCCCUACGGCGUCACCUUCGGCCGGCCCACCGGCCGGUGCUCCGACGGACUUCUCAUGAUCGACUUCCUCGGUACGUACGUUCGUCCCAACUGGCAGUGCAUGCAUCCUCUGCUUCAGUACAUGGCACUGAGUGUACCGCUCUCGUCUGCAAAUGCAGCUCAGGACAUGGGCCUCCCGUUCCUCAACCCUUACCUGGCCAAGAACAUGAGCUUCGCCCAUGGGGUGAACUUCGCCGUCGCUGGAGCCACCGCCAUGGACCUCGCCGACCAGUUCAACGGGAGCUUCUCCAUGCCCUUCACCUCCAACUCCCUCAAGCUGCAGCUCCGGUGGUUCAAGGACUCCAUGAAGUCCACCUACGCCACUCAUGCAGGCAAUUCAUCAAUUUCCUUCCCUCUUAUUACUCCUCAAUGCACACUCUGUUUUCAACAGUCGGGCAUACUAAUUCUAUAUGUAAAAUCUGUGUGUGCAGUGAUACGCAAAAGGCUCCAAUCAUCUUUGGUUUUGGUCGGGGAGAUCGGAGGAAACGACUACAACUUCGCCUUCUACGCAAACAAGUCUGUCAGUGAGGUGGAGAAAAUGAUCCCAGCUGUGGUUCAGACCAUCAUCAACGCCACCAAGGAAGUGCUGGACAUGGGCGCGAGCAGAGUCAUCGUCCCGGGCAACUUCCCCAUCGGCUGCCUCCCUAGCUACCUCACCGCGAUGGCAGCGCCGGAGCCCUCGGCCUACGACUCUACGGCCUGCCUCAAGGACCUCAACCUCUUCGCCGCCAAGCACAACACGCAGCUCCAGCAAGCCGUGGCCGGUCUCCAGGCGUCAUACCCAGACGCGGCCAUCGCCUACGCAGACUACUUCAACUCCUUCCUCAGCCUCCUCAAGGGCGCCCCGGCGCUCGGCUUCGACUCGAAUAGCACGCACAAGGCGUGCUGCGGCGCCGGCGGCAGGUACAACUACGACUUGAGGCUGAUGUGCGGCGUGGAGGGGACGGCGGUGUGCGCGGACCCGUCGGCGUACGUGAGCUGGGACGGCAUCCACAUGACCCAGGCGGCGUACAAGGCCAUGUCCAGGCUCAUCUACCACGGCCGGUACCUGCAGCCACAGAUACUCAACUUCCCGGAGAAGAAUGGGCAGACGUGA